AUGGUAAACAUGGAGGUAUUGUCCAAUGUCAAGGCACGGACGAGACAAGAUAUGAAAGAUAUUGGAAAGUUGUGGCAGCUCAGGAAGCUUGGUGUGGUUAUUCAAUACAAGGAGCCACACCUCAGGAAUUUUCUUCGAGCUAUCAGUGAUCUGCAUGAGUGCCUGAAGUCUCUGUCAAUCACUCUUCCCAAUAUAGAGGACAACAAAGAGAUCAGAGAUUGGGUUCUUGAACACUAUAAAAACUCUCCCAAGCUUCUCGAGAGCCUAAGCAUUACUGGAACCACACAAACAGUGCAACUUCUUCGGUUGUUGACCAGAGAUAUUGACCAACUCCAACUUCGCAAGGUAACUCUAUCUGGUACCCGGCUGUAUCAGCCUGAUCUGAAGGUCCUUGGCAAGCUUCCCAAAUUAAUAUGUCUCAGGCUCCGAGAUAACGCAUACAUCGAUAGCAACCUCACCUUCAACAAUGAUGGAUUCGAAAAUCUCAAGUGCUUUCUUAUUGAGGGUUCCAACAUAACUGCCCUCAGCUUUGGAGGUGGAGCACAUAAACUCGAGAAAAUCGUUUUGUGCUCCACCGAUGGACUGUCAAUUUCUGGAGUCGAAGACCUUCUGGAACUGAAGGAUGUCGAGUUGAAGAACAGCAAUAAGUUAUCAUUGUUUGACAAGGCCAAAAACAUAUCCAAGGUGACUCUUUGGCAUACCUCUCUGAGUCAAUAUGAGGUAGAGAUUCUCGCCAAGAUACCUAACAUGCGCAACCUAGUACUCAAGGACAUAUUUUGUGUACAAAGCCAGCUUAUCUUAUACAAAGAUGACUUCCCAAAGCUCAACCUUCUUACAGUCGACUUCUCUGUCACCCCCAAGACUAUCAUUACCGACGGAUCAGCUCCUAAGCUCGAGAAAAUCAUCUGGUCCUUCACAAAGGACACGGUGGGUACUCUCUCCAUCUCUGGCACUGACAUUCUUCCAAACCUGAAGGAGCUCGAGAUCAAUGGUGAUUUUAUCCCUAGGGAGGUGGAAGAAGCAUUGAAGAAACACAAGAACAAACCCAAGUUUACAUACAACAAACCGGAAAACCAAUACCAGGAAGCCGGAAACAUACCAGAAAAGAAAGAUCCUCCAAGAUUCUCAUUUUUGAGGAAGAAAGAGGAUUGA
rnacentral:rRNA from 1 species